rnacentral:antisense_RNA from 1 species
GGGUGCUUUUGGCUAUCAACCGAAAGCAUAACGUAAGUUUUGUAGACGGUAGAUAACUAAAAACCCCGAAAGUAAAUUUUCAUUCACUAACGAGGCUUUAGAUAUGUACUUCAACAAUACGGAUCUUAGUCUCUAUUUUAAUAAGAGGCAAGUAAAAUGCUAAAAAA